rnacentral:rRNA from 1 species
GAUGAACGCUGGCGGCGUGCUUAACACAUGCAAGUCGAACGGAAAGGCCCAAGCUUGCUUGGGUACUCGAGUGGCGAACGGGUGAGUAACACGUGGGUGAUCUGCCCUGCACUUCGGGAUAAGCCUGGGAAACUGGGUCUAAUACCGGAUAGGACCACUUCUUGGAUGUUGUGGUGGAAAGUUUUUUCGGUGUGGGAUGAGCUCGCGGCCUAUCAGCUUGUUGGUGGGGUAAUGGCCUACCAAGGCGUCGACGGGUAGCCGGCCUGAGAGGGUGUACGGCCACAUUGGGACUGAGAUACGGCCCAGACUCCUACGGGAGGCAGCAGUGGGGAAUAUUGCACAAUGGGCGCAAGCCUGAUGCAGCGACGCCGCGUGGGGGAUGACGGCCUUCGGGUUGUAAACUCCUUUCGCUAGGGACGAAGCGUUUUGUGACGGUACCUGGAGAAAAAGCACCGGCUAACUACGUG